AGAGUCCCAACAGGAGCGACCUGCGACCACACGAGAUUCAGGGGAUCCGGUUCGGGUCUUGAACCCGUCCAUUCGGAUCGAUUCGUUCGGAUGGCUCUUGUGUGUUCUCAGGUCGCCCCUGCCGGGCCUCC
rfam:Macrophomina phaseolina MS6 contig01483, whole genome shotgun sequence.